rnacentral:RNase_P_RNA from 1 species
GCGAGCCAGUGAAUGAGGCGCUGCUACGGCAGAGGAAACUCCUCCCUCCAUGCAGCAAGUGAUCCGGCGACGGAUAGUCAGAGAUGAUUGGCAGCAGAACAGAAACUAUCUGAUCUGGAAUGUACUGUGAUGGUUAUGCCUGAGGUUUCCAGCAAGGAAUGAAAAGUCUGCACCACUUGGAGAAAGGCCAAAUCAAACUGUAAGCGCUGCACUUUGUUUAGGUAGGCCGCAUAGCGAAAUCUCGUAAAACAGAAGGAGGGUUACUGCUGGCACGC